CAGACACAGGAUGUAAAUUUUGCUCUGGAAGCCUCAAGAAAAUCACAGAAUGCUUUUGCAGUAGCUAAUGUAACCCUUGAAGAGGCUCAAAAUACAGAGCGUAUUACUACUAUUAGGAGGGUGAUUGAUUUCAGCUUCCAGGAUGUGGAUGGACUCAUUCGUCUAGUUCGGCUUGCGAUGGAGGCCAUAAACUGUUCUGGUUUUGGUGGUGCUAGAGAUUAGCUUACACUGUAUAUAUUGUGUUUGUCUGGUUUACAUUUCGCCACUGGGUAGGCAUCAGGAAAAGAAACUGGGAAGAAGGUGUCUGCCUGGACUUGCUUGGUUUUUCUACAAAGAAGUGGUCAUCAACGACUCUUUACUUCUCAGUACAUGUGUACAAAGUGAGAUUGAUUAGUAAUUUUUGUAAAUUAUGGUUCAGCUUGUUAUUUUGCAUGGAUAAGGGCACAGCAUCUACACCGUUGAGGCUUUUUUUUGUGGGUUGGCAAAGGAGGAUAGGAUAUUGUUUGGGGGCGGAUUUGGAGGUUAUGUAGCAAGUUAGUACUAUAUUUUUUGGCUCCAAUUUUUUUUGUAGCUCGAGCAAAUAAAAUUAUUUUUAGAGAUUGAAAUCAUGAGGCAACCAUUUUGAGGAGGUUGAAUACUGAUAUAGUGAUGACCGACCAAUUUCCUAGUGAGAGCUUUAAGUUUUCUUACCGUUAUGAAUGAUUUUGUUGGACAGAAAAUGGUUGUAUCAUAGAGCUCCCUUUGUUUUGAUCGAGUUUCUUUUUUGUUGUCACUAAGUGAGACAAGAAGCUCAAAUCGUUCUCAUUUUCCUGCAUGGAAGUAUUUAUCGUUCAGAGUUAUUUCUGCGUAGAAAUUAAUCUCCACAGCAAAGGUUUGCAAAGUUUUUAUUAUUUACCAUUCGAAGAAUUUUUUUCAACCUUGUUUUGCUUUUUUAUCAUUUAUUUUCGUUUUUUAUAUAUGUAUAAAAAAAAAUCUAUUGCUUUGCCUUCAAUUGGACUGCGGGCAAGGCUGUCCCAUCUGCUACAUCAAUGAACUGAUUAAAGAGAUCCUUGGAUAUGAAGGCAUACAAACUCUUGCUGCUCAUUCUUCCUCCUUGAGCUGUAGAAAGAUUCCUGCGAUAUCAUAUUGCACUUGUAAUCUCUAGCCAAAUGAGAGAAGCUACCCUUUUUUAAGAGGUACUGGAAGGAGAGGCAGGCGAUAUAUGAGUUCUUUUAACUGUUAAAAACUUUUUGUGUUGAAUUUGAUUGUUAGUACAUUAGAAUCUUGAUUUUAGUUGGGUGAAAUGGUUUAUUGACUAUUGACAUGGUGGUGGAAGCCAGCUGCAAGCAUUGAUAAAACAGGCCUUCAAAUUGCCAUUGUUUGCCUCUUCUACUGCUUUCUUAAAUUUUCCCUUGCUGUAUAUACAAGACCAAAUUCUCAGAUGAUAUGUUUAGAAUAUUAUGGACUUGGGCUGUUCAUUUCUGUUUGCAGAUUUCUGUGGAACAUGUAUCAUAAUUGAAUUGUUAUAAUAAUAAAU